rnacentral:lncRNA from 1 species
AUUUCAAGAUUUACAAGGUGUAACAACAGAUAAUGAGGGGAAUGUCUAUGUGAAUGGUCGGAGGACACACACUGUAUUCGUUGUAUCAGAUGAUGGUAAACAUCAUAGAGAACUUCUUACUGUAUCAGAUGGAUUGUAUCAGCCGCGUGGAAUUUAUUUUGACAAAAAAGAAAAUAUUCUGCUUGUUUGUAAUGAAAGAAACGGAAAAGCUUUUCUUUUUGACGUGAAAAAGAACAAAAAUAAACAUGAAUAAUUCUAUCAGACAAUGAGUUUAUUUGGACUUGGAUCUAUUUGUGUAUUUUGUCAAUCAAAAUGAUUUCUAUUAAUUUUUGUUUUCUAUACUAUCAAUCUUAAUUACAUUUUGUAUAUUUUUUUUUCUUUACUAUUAGUUUAACUUAUUUGCUUGUCAUGAUCUGUACAGUUGUAUUCUGACAAUACAUCAAUAUACUGCUGCUCGUUAGAUGGAAAGUCAAUGUGGAAUGUUUAUAAAAAUGAUGAAAUUCAAUAUUUACAAGGUGUGACAACAGAUGAUGAGGGGAAUGUGUAUGUGACUAAUGAGAUGGCAAACACUGUAAUAGUUGUAUCUGAUGAUUGUGAACAUUAUAAAGAACUUCUUACUGAAUCAAAUGGAUUGAAUGAGCCGUUUGGAAUUUAUUUUGACAAAACUGAAAAUAUUCUGCUUGUUUGUAAUGAAAGAGACGGAAAUGCAUUUCUUUUUGACGUGAUAAAGAAAUUAACAUAAAUAAACAUAAAUAAUUCUUUCAGACAAUGAGUUGAUUCAAACUCAAUCUAUUUGUGCAUUUAGUUAUUCAAAACAACUUGUAUCAUUUUUUGUUUUCUUUACUAUCAAUCUAACUUAAAUGAAUUUCAUUUUAUGUACAGAAAAACAAAAUUAACACUUUUAUUUCAUGUGUGACAAAAGGGUAACUUGAUAUGGAAAUUUAAUGAAAUAUUACAAUUGUUUAAUUGAUUAACACCAAUUGAUAGUUGAAGACUAAAAAAAAAUUAAAAAUAUAUUUCAUGAUAUCUUUUUAAACCAUAUAUCACUAGUUUUAAUAUUAGUCAUAUGUAUGUCCUCAAUAAGUUUUUUAUUCGAAACAUAUACGGAUGUAAUGGUUGUAAACAAAUUCGAAAUAAAUUACACAUCGUAUUAUGUCGUUGGGUUGCUGUAUAUUGGGCGAUAAACGCUUUAAUUUCAUCUGUGACAACAAAUCAAUUUAAAUUUUAUAAUAAAUUUAGAGAAAUGUUACAAAGACAUAAUGUUCUUUGAUUAACAUCCACUUUCUGUUUCAGAGAAAACCAUGACUCAAGAUAGACUUCAUCAUAUCCUUGAAAACUUUUUAAAGAAUUUUAGUCAUAUAUGUGUCUCCUUAUUAAUUUGUCGGAUGUGUAGUUAAAAUCAGAGUAGAUUCACAAUUCUUUGGUGUCGUCGGGUUGCUUGUCUUAUGGACUGAUACUUCUUUUUUCUUACAUUUGUGUGGAAUGAGGGUGUGGAUGAGGUUCUUCAUUUUUUAUUCGUUAUACUGUUUGUUCAUUAUUUUCUAUUCUUUAUCAUGGUUUAUAUUGUAGCACCUCAUUAUUCCCUAUUUGUUUGUAAAAAAAUGGCGUGGCUCUGUACUUAAACAUCCUGUCAUUGUGUUAUUGUUCUAUAAUACAUUUUGUAUUUUUGUCUUUUAUUAUUGCUAAUAUGCUUUGUCUAUAUAUGCCUUAUUGCGUUCCUCUGUUACAUAUUACGUGGCUUUGUACUUAUACACCCCGUCAUUGUGUUAUUGUCCAUGGUGUUUAAAAAAUAUAAUCACGAAAAGAG